ensembl:miRNA
CUAAAGGGAGAGAGGGAAGAGGGAAGGAGGGAUAACGUAGGAAAGAGAUCUCCCUCCUCCUUCCACCCUGGUCUCCCUUCCC